rnacentral:rRNA from 1 species
GGCCCCUGGAGAACUCCCCGGGAACUGGGGCCAAUUUUCGAUAGGUGAAGAACCCUGGAAUGGGUCUUCGCCCAAAAGGCGCUUGGAGCAUGCUUCUAGGCGUUGCCCAAGGAUGGGGCCGCGGCCGAUCAGGUUGUUGGUGAGGUAAUGGCUCACCAAGCCUUUAACCGGUACGGGCCGUGGGAGCGGUAGCCCGGAGAUGGGCACUGAGACAAGGGCCCAGGCCCUACGGGGCGCAGCAGUCGCGAAAACUUCGCAAUAGGCGAAAGCUUGACGAGGCCAUCCCGAGUGCCAUCUGCUGAGGAUGGCUUUUACCUAGUGUAGAUAGCUGGGGGAAUAAGGAGAGGGCAAGUCUGGUGUCAGCCGCCGCGGUAAUACCAGCUCUCCGAGUUGUGGGGAUGUUUAUUGGGCCUAAAGCAUCCGUAGCCGGCUGGGCAAGUCCUCUGUUAAACCCAGCGAUCAUCGUUGGCUUGCGGGGGAUACUGUCCGGCUAGGGGGCGGAAGAGGCCGUCGGUAUUCUCGGGGUAGGGGUGAAAUCCUAUAAUCCCGGGAGGACCACCAGUGGCGAAGGCUGUCGGCUAGAACGCGCCCGACGGUGAGGGAUGAAAGCUGGGGGAGCGAACCGGAUUAGAUACCUGGGUAGUCCCAGCUGUAAACGAUGCAGGCUAGGUGUUAGGGCGGCUACGUGCCGCUCUAGUGCCGCAGGGAAGCUGUUAAGCCUGCCGCCUGGGGAGUACGGCCGCAAGGCUGAAACUUAAAGGAAUUGGCGGGGGAGCAC